rnacentral:rRNA from 1 species
AGUGAACGCUGGCGGUAGGCCUAACACAUGCAAGUCGAACGGCAGCACAGGAGAGCUUGCUCUCUGGGUGGCGAGUGGCGGACGGGUGAGGAAUACAUCGGAAUCUACUCUGUCGUGGGGGAUAACGUAGGGAAACUUACGCUAAUACCGCAUACGACCUACGGGUGAAAGCAGGGGACCUUCGGGCCUUGCGCGAUUGAAUGAGCCGAUGUCGGAUUAGCUAGUUGGCGGGGUAAAGGCCCACCAAGGCGACGAUCCGUAGCUGGUCUGCGAGGAUGAGCAGCCACACUGGAACUGAGAGACGGUCCAGACUCCUACGGGAGGCAGCAGUGGGGAAUAUCGGACAAUGGGCGCAAGCCUGAUCCAGCCAUACCGCGUGGGUGAAGAAGGCCUUCGGGUUGUAAAGCCCUUUUGUUGGGAAAGAAAUCCAGCUGGCUAAUACCCGGUUGGGAUGACGGUACCCAAAGAAUAAGCACCGGCUAACUUCGUGCCAGCCGCCGCCGUAA